GAUGAACGCUAGCGGCAGGCCUAAUACAUGCAAGUCGAACGGUGUCUUCGGACAUAGUGGCGCACGGGUGCGUAACACGUAUGCAACCUACCUUACAUUGGGGGAUAGCCUUUCGAAAGGGAGAUUAAUACCGCAUAAGACAGUAGCUGGGCAUCCAGCAGCUGUUAAAGAUUUAUCGAUGUAAGCUGGGCAUGCGCACAAUUAGCUAGUUGGUGAGGUAACGGCUCACCAAGGCAAUGAUUGGUAGGGGAACUGAGAGGUCAAUCCCCCACACUGGCACUGAGAUACGGGCCAGACUCCUAUGGGAGGCAGCAGUAAGGAAUAUUGGGCAAUGGACGCAAGUCUGACCCAGCCAUGCCGCGUGCAGGAUGAAGGCGUUAUGCGUUGUAAACUGCUUUUAUACAGGAAGAAACGACUCUUGCGAGAGGCAUUGACGUUACUGUAUGAAUAAGCACCGGCUAACUCCGUGCCAGCCGCCGCAGUAAUAC
rnacentral:rRNA from 1 species